ACCUGCACAGGUGCUGCAUGGCUGUCGUCAGCUCGUGUCGUGAGAUUGUUGGGUUUAAAGUCCCCGGCAACCGAGCCGCAACCCUUUAUCAUUAGUUGCUACGCAAGGGCACUCUAAUGAGACUGCGGUGACAAACCGGAGGAAGUGGGGAUGACGUCAAGUCCUCAUGGCCCUUAUGGUAGGGCUUCACACGUCAUACAAUGGUCGGUACAGAGGGUUGCCAAGCCGCGAGGCGGAGCCAAUCCCACAAAGCCGAUCGUAGUCCGGAUUGUUCUCUGCAACUCGAGAGCAUGAAGUCGGAAUCGCUAGUAAUCGCAGGUCAGCAUACUGCGGUGAAUACGUUCCCGGGUCUU
rnacentral:rRNA from 1 species